rnacentral:rRNA from 1 species
UACGUAGGGGGCGAGCGUUGUCCGGAUUUACUGGGCGUAAAGCGCGUGUAGACGGUUUUGUAAGUCAGAUGUGAAAUCCCUGGGCUCAACCUGGGAACUGCAUUUGAGACUGCAUGGCUAGAGUAUCGAAGAGGGAAGUGGAAUUUCCGGUGUAGCGGUGAAAUGCGUAGAUAUCGGAAGGAACACCAGUGGCGAAAGCGACUUCCUGGUCGAAUACUGACGUUCAUGUGCGAAAGCGUGGGGAGCAAACAGG